rnacentral:rRNA from 1 species
GCACAGAGUUAGCCGGUGCUUAUUCUGCGAGUAACGUCCACUCUCCAGUAGUAUUAAUACUGGGAGCCUCCUCCUCGCUUAAAGUGCUUUACAACCAAAAGGCCUUCUUCACACACGCGGCAUGGCUGGAUCAGGGUUCCCCCCAUUGUCCAAUAUUCCCCA